UACGGAGGGUGCAAGCGUUAUCCGGAUUCACUGGGUUUAAAGGGUGCGUAGUUGGGUUUGUAAGUCAGUGGUGAAAUCUCCGAGCUUAACUCGGAAACUGCCAUUGAUACUAUAGAUCUUGAAUCAUCUGGAGGUAAGCGGAAUAUGUCAUGUAGCGGUGAAAUGCUUAGAUAUGACAUAGAACACCAAUUGCGAAGGCAGCUUACUACGGGUGUAUUGACACUGAGGCACGAAAGCGUGGGGAUCAAACAGG
rnacentral:rRNA from 1 species